rnacentral:tRNA from 1 species
GGAGGGUUGGCCGAGUGGUCUAAGAGUGGUCUAAGGCGGCAGACUUAAGAUCUGUUGGACGGUUGUCCGCGCGAGUUCGAACCUCGCAUCCUUCA